GGCAAACGGCCUUUUCUUGAGCUCAAGACUCUUUACCGAGAGAAUAAAUGAUCCCUACAUUUGGGUGAUGCUGCUACUGCUGCCCUAGGAGCCCUACUUUGAGAACCACUGCACUGUGCCACAAAGAAAUGAUUGGCAGGUGUGUUCCUGUGAAGGGGCCAUCUUUCCUUGUGCAGAAGAAACAGAUGAACUGGAGAAAUGGAAGGUGCCAGAAAGUGAGGGACAAUCUAUACCAUGGGAGCCUGGGUAACUGGUCCAGAAAAACAGAGACAUCUUGAAAUAACUUUACUAUAAAUGGGUACC